CAACACGAUGCGGGAGAGCCGGGCAUACGGCGUUUUUCAACCCUGGUUGAUCACACGCUCGCACGGCACCGAAGGAGCAAGCCUCCCCGCCAAUCUCUCAGGUUCAUGUACCGCAUCGCACUG
rnacentral:ncRNA from 2 species